CCAACUGCACAACAGCUCACCGCGCGCCGGAGAACCUCUGUCCUGUCCACGGUCGAACAACGACGGAGACACAGCAGCGGCGGCGGUUGCUUCGGCCGUCUCAAGCGCCAACGGGAGUGACACAACGGACAGCAGGAGAAGUGGCCGACGGCGCUGCUGCUGCCCCACGAGCGCUCGAAGAGGCCCCGCGUUGGCGAGCAGCAAGAAUAGUGACGAUGGCCGGAGGAGAUGACGGUGGAGGGAUGGGCAAUUGGCGACGAACUCGCCGGAGAAAGGAAAGGAGUGGAGGCGCCGCCUCUUAUGUAGGGAGGAAUUUGAUGAAUUUGGGGAAAAUGGAAUGAAGGGGAUAGAGAGAGAGAGAAGUUGAUCGAGAAGGGAGAGUGGAGAAAUUUUUGGUAAAACACUUUGGGUGGGCCACUUUAGUUGUUUUUGUUUUGGCCGAAGGAUUUUCAAGAAUUAAAGUGUACUACAUAAUUAAAUUCGAUAAGUGGGCCGACAGUGAAUAAUAACAAUAAAAAAAGGGGCUACUUAAUUUCUUGUUGUUAAUGAGAAUGGUCUUUUAUGGACAAGGAUUAAAAUUAGUAUUUGGGCAGAUUAAAUUACAUAGAGCGAAGAGUUAAUCGUGGAGAUGAGUUGGAGCUCGAUUAAGUGGUAAAUUAAAAUUCUCUGGAUAAUUUACUUAGUUCCCGAAGAUGGAAGAUGUUGAAAUCGAAGGUGCGCAGGGCCGACCAGCGUCGCCCCGCGACGCCUUGGGCGGCUGCUAAGGAAAUAGAAGGAAAGAAAGAGAGAGAGAGACGACGAUCUCAAGUCACAUAAUUAAUUAAGUCUAACAAAGAAUUGCUUUUAAUCAAAUUUCCUGACUUAAUUAAUAUGAAAGUUUCAUAAAUUUCCUAUGAAAGAACGAAGGAUAGAAAGAGAUUAAUUAGGAUGCAUGCAUUCUAAGUAGAUGUUUUCCUUGAGUUUGAUUAAGUAUAUGUUUUUAUUUUCAAAAGGCUAUCUCUACGAGCAAGUGAUGGUAGGAGUAAAGAACCUCAAGUAACGGAAUUUAAACGCACGAGGAAUCGAAUUCGGAUCCGUGUGAGGGUGGUGUCCCUACUCGGAUUAGUGUACACAGGUGACCGUUGGAAGGUGGCCACCUUCCACGGCACAAAGAUGAUAUAGUGGAGGCCGUUGGGAGGUGGCCACCUCCCCGGCUGGAGAAA